AUUGAACGCUGGCGGUAUGCCUUACACAUGCAAGUCGAACGGCAGCACGGGGCAACCUGGUGGCGAGUGGCGAACGGGUGAGUAAUGCAUCGGAACGUACCUUUCAGUGGGGGAUAACGUAGCGAAAGUUACGCUAAUACCGCAUAUUCUGUGAGCAGGAAAGCAGGGGAUCGCAAGACCUUGCGCUGAUUGAGCGGCCGAUGUCAGAUUAGCUAGUUGGUGAGGUAAAGGCUCACCAAGGCGACGAUCUGUAGCGGGUCUGAGAGGAUGAUCCGCCGCACUGGACCUGGGACACGGUCCAGGCGCCUACGGGAGGCAGCAGUGGGGAAUUUUGGACAAUGGGGGCAACCCUGAUCCAGCCAUGCCGCGUGAGUGAAGAAGGCCUUCGGGUUGUAAAGCUCUUUCGGCCGGGAAGAAAUCGCACGGGCUAAUACCCUGUGUGGAUGACGGUACCGGAAUAAGAAGCACCGGCUAACUACGUGCCAGCCGCCGCAGUAACAC
rnacentral:rRNA from 1 species